rnacentral:rRNA from 1 species
GACGAAUGCUGGCUGCGUGCUUAACACAUGCAAGUCGAACGGUGAAGGAGGGCUUGCCCUCCGGAUCAGUGGCGAACGGGUGAGCAACACGUGGGCAACCUGCCCCUCACUCUGGGAUAACGCCGGGAAACCGGCGCUAAUACCGGAUACGACCAGGCGCGACAUCUCGCCUGGUGGAAAGAAUUUCGGUGAGGGAUGGGCCCGCGGCCUAUCAGCUAGUUGGUGGGGUAACGGCCCACCAAGGCGACGACGGGUAGCCGGCCUGAGAGGGCGACCGGCCACACUGGGACUGAGACACGGCCCAGACUCCUACGGGAGGCAGCAGUGGGGAAUAUUGCGCAAUGGGCGAAAGCCUGACGCAGCGACGCAGCGUGAGGGACGAAGGCCUUCGGGUUGUAAACCUCUUUCAGCGGGGACGAAGCGAGAGUGACGGUACCCGCAGAAGAAGCACCGGCUAACUACGUGCCAGCCGCCGCCGUAAAAC